rnacentral:pre_miRNA from 1 species
GCUAAAAGGAACGAUCGUUGUGAUAUGCGUUCAUUAAAUCGUUACAUAUCACAGUGAUUUUCCUUUAUAGCGC